GUGCUUGCUUCAGCAGCACAUAUACUAAAAUUAGAAUGAUACAGAGAAGAUUAGCAUGGCCCCUGCACAUGGAUGACAUGCAAAUUCGUGAAACGUUCCAUAUUAAA
rnacentral:snRNA from 1 species